AUUGAACGCUGGCGGAAUGCUUUACACAUGCAAGUCGAACGGUAGAGGGGGCAACCCCUUGAGAGUGGCGAACGGGUGAGUAAUAUAUCGGAGCGUGCCCAGUCGUGGGGGAUAACGUAGCGAAAGUUACGCUAAUACCGCAUACGAUCUAAGGAUGAAAGCGGGGGAUCGCAAGACCUCGCGCGAUUGGAGCGGCCGAUAUCAGAUUAGGUAGUUGGUGAGGUAAAGGCUCACCAAGCCAACGAUCUGUAGCUGGUCUGAGAGGACGACCAGCCACACUGGAACUGAGACACGGUCCAGACUCCUACGGGAGGCAGCAGUGGGAAUUUUGGACAAUGGACGCAAGUCUGAUCCAGCCAUUCCGCGUGCAGGAUGAAGGCCCUCGGGUUGUAAACUGCUUUUGUACGGAACGAAAAGGUUUCUAUUAAUACUAGGAGCUCAUGACGGUACCGUAAGAAUAAGCACCGGCUAACUACGUGCCAGCAG
rnacentral:rRNA from 1 species